ACCUCUUUGCUUGCGCCUGCGUGCAGCGCGUUUGCACGGCCGCAGAGGCAGAGUGAACGUUCAGACUGUGGGCGUGUCAGGCCAUAGGUACCUGUCUGGGGACAGGCAUUUAGUCCACUCUUCGAGGUAAACCAAGAAGGGUCCAGCUUAGGCAAAACGAAAAACCUCUUAACAGCCAGUGUCUAAACUCCAGAUCCCGGGACGCCUCUCCGCGGCCCUGCGUACGGACACAGGUGUACCCCCACAACCCCGCCAGCGUGUAGGGCUCUGGCAUUACGCCUACGCCCUCCCGGAGCUAUCGCACUGAAGCCGCACAACACGCUGACGAGAUGGGUGGACUCCAGCCCAAACUGCCUAGGUUUGAAUCCCAUCUCUGCUACUUACUGUGUCAUCUCAGAUUCACUGAUUGACUGGAAGAUUUCCCAGAAGUUAGAAUAGCAUUUCUCAAAAGGUACUGCAUGUUAACUGCACCACUGGAUUGCCGAUCCAGCUUCCUGCUAAUGUGUGUGGGAAGGCAGUGGAAGAUGGCCCAAGUGCUUGAGGCCCUGUCACCCAUGUGGAAGACCAGGAUGGAGUUUCUGGUUCCUGGCUUCAGCUUGGCCCAGACCUGGCUGUUAUGGACAUAUGGGGAGUGAACAAGAUGAUGAAGGUACUUUCUCUCUCUCUCUCUAAUCCAGAAAAAUAAAUCUUUAAGAAGAAAAAGUUCACUUUAUUUUUUUCUUUUAUUUGACAGGUAGAGUUAGAGAGAGAGAGAGAGAGGUCUUACUUUCGUUGGUUCACCCCCCAAAUGGCCACUACAGCCAGAACUACACCGAUCCGAAGCCAGGAGCCAGGUGCUUCCUCCCGG